rnacentral:tRNA from 1 species
UCCCCCGUGGUCCAGCGGCUAAGACUCUGCCCUCCCAAUGCAGGGGGCCUGGGUUCUAUCCCUGGUGAGGGAA